rnacentral:rRNA from 1 species
UACGGAGGGUGCAAGCGUUAAUCGGAAUUACUGGGCGUAAAGCGCACGCAGGCGGUCUGUCAAGUCAGAUGUGAAAUCCCCGGGCUUAACCUGGGAACUGCAUUUGAAACUGGCAGGCUAGAGUCUUGUAGAGGGGGGUAGAAUUCCAGGUGUAGCGGUGAAAUGCGUAGAGAUCUGGAGGAAUACCGGUGGCGAAGGCGGCCCCCUGGACAAAGACUGACGCUCAGGUGCGAAAGCGUGGGGAGCAAACAGG